rnacentral:rRNA from 1 species
CAAUAGCGUAUAUUAAAGUUGUUGCAGUUAAAACGCUCGUAGUUGAACAUCUGCCCUUUUCCGGUUAGGUCCGCUCUGCGCGCACCUUCCGAAAUCGGCAUCCGUCUGCGUUGCUUCGCAUUGCAGACCGUUCACUUUGAGGAAAUUAGAGUGUUCAAAGCAGGCUUACGCCUUGAAUACUUCAGCAUGGAAUGAUUGAUAGGACUUCUAUCCUAUCUUGGUUCUAGGGACAGAAGUAAUGGUAAACAGGGUUGGUUGGGGGCAUUCGUACUGAACAGUCAGAGGUGAAAUUCUUAGAUUUGUUCAAGACGAACAACUGCGAAAGCAUUUGCCAAGGACGACCCCAUUAA